GUCUGGGUGGAGGUAUACUCAGUCUGGCCUGCCCGCUGACAAUACGUUGUUGAAGAGCCGCGGUAUCUGUAACCGUGCGAAGGUAGCAUAAUCAGUUGUCUUUUAAUUGAAGGCUGGUAUGAACGGUCGAACGAGAAGCUAGUUGUCUCUCUAGUGAAAAUUGAAGUUUACCUUUAAGUGAAAAGGCUUAAAUACUACGAGGAGACGAUAAGACCCUGUAAAGCUUUACGAUUACUCUAGUUGCCCCCGAACUGUGGUGUAAGGGGGGCAGGGAAUGGGUGUCGUUGCGUUGGGGCGGCGAGAAUAUAAUGCAGUAACUGUUCUUGGAAUAAAACGGCUAGUGGCCGGAUGAGAUGACCCUUUAUUAAGGAUAAUAGGAUUAAGUUACUUUAGGGAUAACAGCGUUAUUUCCUUUGAGAGUUCAUAUUGACAAGGUAAGUUGCGACCUCGAUGUUGAAUUAAGGUUUCAUUCUGGUGCAGGAGCUUGAAUUGUGGGUCUGUUCGACCUUUAAAACCUUACAUGAUUUGAGUUCAGACCAGCGCGAG
rnacentral:rRNA from 1 species